rnacentral:ncRNA from 2 species
UUAUUGUCAACUAUUUAUCAACUUACACAUGCAAGUCUCAGCAUCCCUGUGAGAACGCCCUUUUACCUCAUCAAGGAAAAGGAGCUGGUAUCAGGCACAGUAUCUCGCCCACAACACCUAGCUUUGCCACACCCCCAAGGGUACUCAGCAGUGAUUAACAUUGAUUAUGAGCGCCAGCUCGACUCAGUUAGAUAAAAUAGAGCCGGCUAAUCCGGUGCCAGCCGCCGCGGCUACACCAUCAGGCCCAAGCUGACAAUCAUUCGGCGUUAAGCGUGUUUAAAGUGUUUCCCCUAUAUUAGAAUUAAACUUAAACCAAGUCGUGACACACUUGUUUAUAAGAAAGCCUCAAACGAAAGUUAUUCUAACCAAACCACUUGAAUCCACGACAGCUAGGACACAAACUGGGAUUAGGUACCCCACUAUGCCUAGCCGUAAAAUAUUUACUUACACCAAACCCGCCGGGGAAUUACGAGCUCAAGCUUAAAACCCAAAGGACUUGACGGUGUCCCACCCAUCUAGAGGAGCCUGUUCUAUAAUCGAUUCUCCCCGAUAUACCUCACCAUAUCUAGCCUUUCAGCCUGUAUACCUCCGUCGCAAGCUUACCAUAUGAACGCAUCCUAGUGAGCUUAAAUAUAUAUCAUAAAUACGUCAGGUCAAGGUGCAGCCAACGUCAUGGAAAGUAAUGGGCUACAAUUUCUACCAUAGAACAAACGAAAGACUACAUGCAACUUAGUCAUGAAGGCGGAUUUAGCAGUAAAAAGAAAAUAGAGAGUUCUUUUUAAUUAGGCACUGGGACGCGUACACACCGCCCGUCACCCUCUUCAAAUGAAACUACUAAAGUUCUUAACAAUAUUAUUCACCACAGAAGAGGUAAGUCGUAACACGGUAAGCGUACUGGAAAGUGUGCUUGGAUUAACAAA